GUAGGUGGCAAGCGUUGUCCGGAAUUAUUGGGCGUAAAGCGCGCGCAGGCGGUUCUUUAAGUCUGAUGUGAAAGCCCACGGCUCAACCGUGGAGGGUCAUUGGAAACUGGAGAACUUGAGUACAGAAGAGGAAAGCGGAAUUCCACGUGCAGCGGUGAAAUGCGUAGAGAUGUGGAGGAACACCAGUGGCGAAGGCGGCUUUCUGGUCUGUAACUGACGCUGAGGCGCGAAAGCGUGGGGAGCAAACAGGAUUAGAUACCCUGGUAGUCCACGCCGUAAGCGAUGAGUGCUAAGUGUUAGGGGGUUUCCGCCCCUUAGUGCUGCAGCUAACGCAUUAAGCACUCCGCCUGGGAGUACGGCCGCAAGGCUG
rnacentral:rRNA from 1 species